UUGAGUUCAAGUACUUUUUCUUAAAAAACGGCUCUUAAACACAGAUGCAUUUUUUCUUAACUACUGGUCAUGAUAUUCCAUUGCCCCCACCCACGUGUAUGUGUGUGUGUGCGCGUGUGUACAUGUGCGUGUCUGUUGCGGCUUACCUGUAACACUGGUUCUGAGCAAGUGAAACAUUUGCCAAUGUGUUGUGGAAGAGAGUAGCAGUGCUCCUCCCCACCAGGGAACGUUCCCGAGUUGCCAUCUCUGCCUGUGAUUAUGUGCAGGGCAGUCAUGCGGAAGAGAGAUUCUGCGUGGGCAGAACCAUGACCAAGGGAGAGGGGAAGCCAAGAGGAGAGAUUUCAGAUGGAUAAACAAGUUUCUCACAGUCGAGGAAUAAGAACCACACGGGCAGGCUUCCUCGGAGAGGCCCGUGCCCCAACCUAGAGGACAUGAAGCCCAGACCAGGACUGUGACCUGCAGCUGGAGACCCCUCUUGACCCAUGGGGGCUGGUGUGCUAAGGUGCAAAGGGAGGGAAGAGCAACAUGCCGUGUGACACCUGCAGACAGUUCUUCCUGUUCUGGAAUCUUCCGGUUGGCCCCAGGGGUGUACCCUAGGGCAGCCCACAGCCAGCCCCUGCUAGAUCCCGGCUCCCGGCAACCCUCAAUGCUGAACUCUCCCGGGAGUCCUGUGGCGGCAAACAGCCCUGGUUGCUGCUGUUUCUUUUAAAUAGUAUACUGCUGAGAAAUGGAUUUGUUUGCUCCGCGUGCCUGAAGAAACCACACUAUGAAAUAUGUAUAAAUGUCACUGUUCAGGCUGCUUCUCAGGAUAAGGGCAGAAAAACGUUCCAUUUUACCUCCUUACACAGGAGUCCACUCACAGAAGCUACUCGCAUGUAUUAUCCGUGUGCCCACACACAAACGCCAAUGAAUUACGCAGCAUUUUCUUUGAAAACCUCCUAUUUAUCCUUAACUGGUACCAGGCUAGGGGAAUCAUCUUAAUUGCUACGUGGAACGAAUGAAUUGCAAAAGCAUUCAGUCGACCAAGAAGACUUUAUUUUUAACAGCAUGGGGCCAGGUGAAAGUUGCCAAGUUUGCCAAAAAUAAAUGAAUCAACCAAUCAAUAAAGCA
rnacentral:lncRNA from 1 species